AGUGAACGCUGGCGGUAGGCCUAACACAUGCAAGUCGAACGGCAGCACAGUAAGAGCUUGCUCUUACGGGUGGCGAGUGGCGGACGGGUGAGGAAUACAUCGGAAUCUACUUUUUCGUGGGGGAUAACGUAGGGAAACUUACGCUAAUACCGCAUACGACCUACGGGUGAAAGCAGGGGAUCUUCGGACCUUGCGCGAUUGAAUGAGCCGAUGUCGGAUUAGCUAGUUGGCGGGGUAAAGGCCCACCAAGGCGACGAUCCGUAGCUGGUCUGAGAGGAUGAUCCGCCACACUGGAACUGAGACACGGUCCAGACUCCUACGGGAGGCAGCAGUGGGGAAUAUUGGACAAUGGGCGCAAGCCUGAUCCAGCCAUAUCGCGUGGGUGAAGAAGGCCUUCGGGUUGUAAAGCCCUUUUGUUGGGAAAGAAAAGCAGCAGGUUAAUACCCCGCUGUUCUGACGGUACCCAAAGAAUAAGCACCGGCUAACUUCGUG
rnacentral:rRNA from 1 species